CCUACGGGGGGCAGCAGUGAGGAAUAUUGGUCAAUGGGCGGAAGCCUGAACCAGCCAAGUAGCGUGCGGGAUGAAGGCCCUACGGGUCGUAAACCGCUUUUGCACGGGGAUAACACCCUCCACUUGUGGAGGUCUGCAGGUACCGUGCGAAUAAGGGCCGGCUAAUUCCGUGCCAGCAGCCGCGGUAAUACGGAAGGCCCGAGCGUUAUCCGGAUUCAUUGGGCUUAAAGGGAGCGUAGGUGGAUUGUUAAGUCAGUUGUGAAAGUUUGCGGCUCAACCGUAAAAUUGCAGUUGAAACUGGCAGGCUUGAGUACAGUAGAGGUGGGCGGAAUUCGUGGUGUAGCGGUGAAAUGCUUAGAUAUCACGAAGAACUCCGAUUGCGAAGGCAGUUCACUGGACUGCAACUGACACUGAGGCUCGAAAGUGUGGGUAUCAAACAGGAUUAGAUACCCCGGUAGUC
rnacentral:rRNA from 1 species